UGCUGCAAAACCAGGGAGCAUGAAAAACGCAGCUCUGUGACUUCCUGCAGGAAUUUGGAGGCAGGUCAACGCUUCUUUUCGUUGUUGUUGCUUGUGAGGGAAAUGCUGCAUGUGUUUGGAUACAUGUCUGCACUGGACUCCUGCACACUGUGAACACAGACUGAUCCCUCUCAAAAGUUGUGAGCGAGUCGGAAGACAUCCAGACAUCCGUGCAUCUUUCUAUUUGACCGCCGGCAACUCGCUGUGUGCAGAGAGACUGGCCCCGGGAAUCCCCGUUGCAGCUUCUCCACACUCUGACGCUGACGUUUAGCGUCCGUGUCAAGACUGCAUCCCUGACAUGUCCAGCUGUGAGAAGCUGCAUGAGACGGCGAUUCUUCCCUUAAAACAAACUGAACAACCUCAUCGUUGCCUCUUGCCGUUUCCAUAUGAGAUUCGGCAGAAUUAGGCAGGACUGGCCCGGACCACUCACUUUCAACUUCACAUAGUCUGAAUUCCGGGCUUCCGCAGACAGACUAGAAGACUCUCAAGGACGUUAAGGACACGAAUAGGGUCUCAUUCGUCUUGGAGCAGCUUGUGGCUUUUUGCCAGCAGCCAUGCAGGUGUCCUUUGCGUGUACGGACCACGGGCUGAAGGCCCCUCGCAACGGCGAGCACAGCAAGCAGAACGCCACCAGCCCCAACACGACCAGCCAUGCCCGAGCCCGCUUCCGCACCGUGGCCCUGAUCGCCCGCAGCCUGGGCUCCUUCACCCACCGCUACCACCACAACCUGAAGGAGUCCACUGCCAAGUUGACCGGCAUGAAAUACCGGAACCUGGGGAAAUCUGGUUUACGUGUCUCCUGUCUGGGUCUUGGAACAUGGGUAACAUUUGGAGGUCAGAUCUCUGAUGAGGUAGCAGAGCAGCUGAUGACCAUUGCCUAUGAGAGUGGGGUCAACCUGUUCGAUACGGCCGAAGUCUACUCUGGGGGAAAAGCAGAGAUUAUCUUGGGAAAUAUCAUCAAGAAGAAGUGCUGGAGGAGAUCCAGCCUUGUGAUCACCACAAAGCUCUACUGGGGAGGAAAAGCUGAGACAGAGAGAGGCCUCAACCGAAAACACAUCAUUGAAGGUUUAAAGGGUUCCCUCCAGAGGAUGCAGCUCGAAUAUGUGGAUGUGGUCUUUGCCAACCGGACGGACAGCAACACUCCUAUGGAGGAAAUUGUGAGAGCUAUGACUCAUGUGAUCAACCAAGGGAUGUCCAUGUACUGGGGAACAUCUCGUUGGUCUGCCAUGGAGAUCAUGGAAGCCUAUUCUGUGGCCAGACAGUUUAAUCUUAUUCCACCGGUGUGCGAGCAGGCUGAGUAUCAUUUCUUCCAGCGGGAGAAGGUGGAAACUCAGCUUCCUGAGCUCUACCAUAAAAUAGGUGUGGGUGUGGUCUCUUGGUCUCCUCUGGCAUGUGGGAUUAUCACUGGAAAGUAUGAUAAUGGCAUCCCAGAAUCCUCAAGAGCUGCAAUGAAGCCAUAUCAGUGGUUGAGGGAGAAGAUAACGAGUGAGGAUGGAAGAAAACAGCAAUCCAAACUAAAAGAACUGACUCAUAUUGGAGAAAAACUAGGAUGCACCUUGCCACAGUUAGCCAUAGACCAAUAUUCUGCUAUCCUGAUCUUAAGCCUGGUGCUUGAGGAAUGAGGGCGUCAGCUCAGUGCUCCUGGGGGCCUCCAAUCCCACCCAGCUAACAGAAAACCUGGGAGCCAUUCAGGUAAUUCCAAAGAUUACAGCAGGUAUUGCUUCAGAAAUGGACCAUAUUCUGGGCAACCGUCCACACAGUAAAAGGGACUACCACCACUAGGAUGGACACUUUCUACUAAAGCGCUCAUAAGGCUUUUCAAAGCUCACUUUUCACAGCCAUGGCACCAUAAGUGCGUGCCCACGACUGCGUGUAUCUGUGGAGGACUGUGUGAUUAUACUUGGCUCUUUCAACUCAUAACUGUGAAGUGGGCUACAUGACGACAAAGCGCGCAUGCAAAACCAGCCAGUUAUCAGACUGAACACGAUUUGUAGGAUCCAUCAAGACAAUUCCCUGCAUUGAAAAGAAAAAACCUCACCAACAGCGAACUUUGCAGAAGGUGCUGACCCACAUAGUGCUGGAAAAAGAAUAGAAUUAAUUGUUUAAAUAUUCUGUUAAAAUGGCUGUCAGUGCAUGUAGAGAAAACCUCUGAGGAACUAAUUACCUCUAAGCAUCCAAUUAAGCAUAGCAGAGCACUAUGAUAAUAGAUUAUUUGCAUCAAAAUGGACCUAAUGCUAGAGUAAUCUAUUUUACUGUAUAAUGUAUGUAUUGUAAAAAGAAUUACAAAUGGUGAUUAUAAUGAGCCAUAUUUCAGCAGAAUGGAUGAACAUUCCCCAAUGCAGCUGGAGCUUGCUUGUCCAUGUGAUUCCUGCAGAACUGGAAGAUCUAAAUGUCAGCUAAACAUUGUCUUUGCUAUUGCCAUAAAAAAAGUUUAAUUAGUUUAAAUGAAAUAUAUAUGUCUCAAAACAUAUGUAAUGACUGUUACAUAAGUAUGUAUUUCUUUAAUGAGCAGUUAUGUUGUUCUGUUCUCUUUUUCACUUAUGCAACAGCACCGCAGAGUGUAUUUUCCUACUGUGCCCUUUCAACCUAUUUUAGUUUGUACGCUGGCAGUUUCUGUCAGUGGGAAUUGUUUCUGAUUCAUUUCAUUUCAGUCGGUACUGUGGAUAGAAAAGUGUCUCAUUGAAGUCGGGGUGAUGAUCCUCCUGCAGGGGAGCUUGUGGAUAACAAAUAAAGCCAUGUGGCUAAUGGAGAGACAUAGUGGUGAAAAAAUUAAAAAGAACACCAUAUGGACCCUUGCAGUAAUUGCACCUGGAACAAACAGAGUUUUUUCCCAGUUUCUCCCAGAUGGUUGUUUUAUGUAAUGGGAUCAUCUUUGCUAUGUUCUGUUUGUCCAGAUAUGUAUUAUGGUGUUGUUCAUCAAAUUUGUACAUGAAAAUUAAAGAAACGCUUAGAAUCGUA